rnacentral:ncRNA from 2 species
CGUAGAAUGCCUCUUGUUGGUGCUCGCAGUGUGGUUCACACUCUGCAGUUCAACGGGAAGCAGGAGGAAGCCAAUGCCAUGCGCGCCGGAUCAGACGGUUUGCAAGCGCCUUGAUUUCUAACCUGUGCUGCCCCCGCAACGGUAAACGGACGAAUGCAGCGCCCUGGAAUCCAGGGUUGCAUUCAGUUGUCAUCAUGAGCCACUGAGCGUUUUGAACACGCGCUUGGGAAGGCGAUGAAAGCAGUUCCGUCAGCCCGGAUACCGGCCAACAAGGUGAAUGCGCA